rnacentral:rRNA from 1 species
GUGCACCAGGCGAGAAACCUCCGCAAUGCUCGAAAGAGCGACGGGGGGACUCCAAGUGCCUACGCUUUGCGUAGGCUUUUCCCAAGCCUAAAAAAGCUUGGGGAAUAAGGGCUGGGUAAGACGGGUGCCAGCCGCCGCGGUAAUACCCGCAGCCCGAGUGGUGGCCGCUUUUAUUGGGCCUAAAGCGUCCGUAGCCGGUCUGGUAAAUGCCUGGGUAAAAUCGUCUGGCUCAACCAGACGAAUUCCGGGUAGACUGCCAGACUAGGGACCGGAGGAAGGAGAGGGUACUCCGGGGGUAGGGGUGAAAUCCUGUAAUCCUCGGAGGACCACCGGUGGCGAAGGCGCUCUCCUAGGACGGGUCCGACGGUGAGGGACGAAAGCCAGGGGAGCAAACCGGAUUAGAUACCCCGGUAGU